GACGAACGCUGGCGGCGUGCUUAACACAUGCAAGUCGAACGGUGAAGCGCCUUCCUUUUUGGUGGGUGUGGAUGAGUGGCGAACGGGUGAGUAACACGUGAGUAACCUGCCCCCUUCUUCUGGAUAACCGCAUGAAAGUGUGGCUAAUACGGGAUAUUCUGGGUCUGUCGCAUGAUGGGUCUGGGAAAGAUAUUGUUUCGGUGGGGGAUGGGCUCGCGGCCUAUCAGCUUGUUGGUGGGGUGAUGGCCUACCAAGGCGGUGACGGUUAGCCGGCCUGAGAGGGUGGACGGUCACACUGGGAAUGAGACACGGCCCAGACUCCUACGGGAGGCAGCAGUGGGGAAUAUUGCACAAUGGGCGCAAGCCUGAUGCAGCGACGCCGCGUGAGGGAUGGAGGCCCUCGGGUUGUGAACCUCUUUCGCCAGUGAAGCAGGCCUGCCUCGUUUGUGGGUGGGUUGACGGUAGCUGGAUAAGAAGCGCCGGCUAACUACGUG
rnacentral:rRNA from 1 species